rnacentral:rRNA from 1 species
UACGUAGGGUGCAGGCGUUAAUCGGAAUUACUGGGCGUAAAGGGCGCGUAGGCGGACAGUUUAGUCAGAGGUGAAAGCCCAGGGCUCAACCUUGGAAUUGCCUUUGAUACUGGCUGUCUUGAGUUCGGGAGAGGUGAGUGGAAUACCGAGUGUAGAGGUGAAAUUCGUAGAUAUUCGGCGGAACACCAGUGGCGAAGGCGACUCACUGGCCCGAUACUGACGCUGAGGCGCGAAAGCGUGGGGAGCAAACAGG